rnacentral:rRNA from 1 species
UACGAAGGGUGCAAGCGUUAAUCGGAAUUACUGGGCGUAAAGCGUGCGCAGGCGGUUCGGAAAGAAAGAUGUGAAAUCCCAGGGCUUAACCUUGGAACUGCAUUUUUAACUGCCGGGCUAGAGUGUGUCAGAGGGGGGUAGAAUUCCACGUGUAGCAGUGAAAUGCGUAGAUAUGCGGAGGAACACCGAUGGCGAAGGCAAUCCCCUGGGCCUGCACUGACGCUCAUGCACGAAAGCGUGGGGAGCAAACAGG